CCCUUAGAUGUUCUGGGCUGCACACGUGCUACACUGGCAGGUUCAGCGAGCUUCAUGCCCUGAUCUGAAAGGAAUGGGAAAUCUUUUCAAAACCUGCCGUGCUUGGGAUAGAUGUUUGCAAUUAUUCAUCUUCAACGAGGAUUGCCUUGUAAGCGCACGUCAUCAGCGUGCAUUGAAUACGACCCUGUAUUCUGUACACACCGCCCGUCGCUCCUACCGAUUGAAGUUUUCGGUGAGUUGACAGGAGGAUUUUUUUGAAACUGGUUCGCCAGUGGAUUUUAGAUCCAAAUGCCAACGAAUCGAUGGCUUUAGAGGAAGGAGAAGUCGGAACA
rnacentral:rRNA from 1 species